UUCCAUAGCAGAUUAAUUGAUCAUCUGAAUGCGAAGAGGACUAGGUAAAAUUCUGUGCUGUUGGAUACCUUUGCCCUCAGCUGCACUCUGCCUGGUUCCAUGGCCUCAUCCAGAUGAUACACAUCAUUAGGUAUGAGAAGCUUGCAGCCAGCAUGGUCAGUAGGGCUCCUGUUGGCUGGCAUCCAUCACUAUGCGUUAUGAAGAUGGAAGAAGCUUCAGAACAAGCAAAACUUGAAUAGACACCAGCCUGCAGUCUGUAUUGGUGUCUUCGGCACAGCAAAGCCAGCUUCCCAGAGGAGAGCUGGACCCUUUCCAAGCCAGGCUUCAGUAACAUGGGAAAUGGAAGGAACAAUAAGAAAGAAAACAGUGCUGAGAGCAGACUGUAGAAUACAGAUCAUCAGAUAGUGUAGAUUCUGCUGGUACAUGGAUGUUAAUGGCUCAUCAGGACAUCGUCCUCCUCCAGACCCAGCCAGAACCAAAUGUUGCUUCUUUUACAGGUUCAACUCUAAAUUUGUGAUCACUUACAGAAUCACUCCUGAGGUACAACACAGAUUCAGCCUGCAAAAGGAAUAACAACAGGAGUGAGACAACAUGCUGAGUCGAGACAGUACAGUGCUGAGCUGCUCUGGUGGGGAGGAGAAGGCAACCACGUGUGAAGUAGACACCCAUGGUCUCUGGUGGGGAAGGGGGAGAAAGUGUUUUCACCUUCAUCUCAUCCUCUUUUAAAUUUGUUUUUGGUAUGUUUUAUAAUGUUCAUAUUAAGUUAGUACACUGGCACAUAACUAUAACGUAAAAGUAAACAUAGACAAACAUAUUGGGUGUGCUUGCUCGAAAGAUUUUACUGAUAAAGGUGUGCAGUCAAAAAUACUUGGGCACCACUGGUCUAAAAUGUCCACCAAAGAAGGUUUAGGUGGACUGCCCUCACGCCUGGAAACAGCCCAGCAUAAAAUAUGAGAUCCUUGUGAUGGCAUGAGCAGCAUCUAUAUUUUAUAAUAAAUGUUAC
rnacentral:lncRNA from 7 species